rnacentral:lncRNA from 1 species
CGAACACGAUGAGUAGAUAUCAAACAAUGUCAACUCGCCCCACUGGUCAAUCGGCCCACACUUUAUCGCCACUUUAUAAAAAAAUCGACCCACUCUUGUUUACCGUCUCGCCCCACUUUUGAAAAAGUGUAAAAUCAAAUUGAACAAUCAGUCUGGCAACUCAUUUAUUAUCGAAAAGGGUUUAAACCCCACUGAAUAAAGGUCUGCCAACUCGCCCCA